rnacentral:rRNA from 1 species
UUGAAGGUUGGGUAACACUAACUGGAGGACCGAACCGACUAAUGUUGAAAAAUUAGCGGAUGACCUGUGGCUGGGGGUGAAAGGCCAAUCAAACCGGGAGAUAGCUGGUUCUCCCCGAAAGCUAUUUAGGUAGCGCCUCGUGAAUUCAUCUCCGGGGGUAGAGCACUGUUUCGGCUAGGGGGCCAUCCCGGCUUACCAACCCGAUGCAAACUGCGAAUACCGGAGAAUGUUAUCACGGGAGACACACGGCGGGUGCUAACGUCCGUCGUGAAGAGGGAAACAACCCAGACCGCCAGCUAAGGUCCCAAAGUCAUGGUUAAGUGGGAAACGAUGUGGGAAGGCCCAGACAGCCAGGAUGUUGGCUUAGAAGCAGCCAUCAUUUAAAGAAAGCGUAAUAGCUCACUGGUCGAGUCGGCCUGCGCGGAAGAUGUAACGGGGCUAAACCAUGCACCGAAGCUGCGGCAGCGAACGUAUCACUUAAAGCGAUUCAGCGGGUUACGAUUGACGGAGCGAAGCGACGUCAAAGCGUAUACAAAGUCGAGUCGGUUUAAGGAU